GACGAACGCUGGCGGCGUGCUUAACACAUGCAAGUCGAGCGGAGCGGCGAACGGGUGAGUAACGCGGGAGUAACUGCCCCCCUCUCUGGGAUAACAGUUGGAAACGGCUGCUAAUACCGGAUAGUGGGGGAUGACUCGCGUCCUAUCAGCUUGUUGGUGGGGUAGUGGCCUACCAAGGCGACGACGGGUAGCCGCCCUGCGAGGGCGACCGGCCACAUUGGGGUGAGAUACGGCCCAAAUUCCUACGGGAGGCAGCAGUGGGGAAUAUUGCACAAUGGGGUAAACCCUGAUGCAGCGACGCCGCGUGGGGGAUGAAGGCUUUCGGGUUGUAAUCCUCUUUCGCUAUCGAAAGGGUAGGUGGAGAAGAAGCGCCGGCUAACUACGUGCCAGCAGCCGCGGUAAUAC
rnacentral:rRNA from 1 species